rnacentral:rRNA from 1 species
UAGGGAAUCUUCCGCAAUGGACGAAAGUCUGACGGAGCAACGCCGCGUGAGUGAAGAAGGAUUUCGGUUCGUAAAACUCUGUUGUUAGGGAAGAAAAAAUGUAUAGUAACUAUAUACAAAAGAGACGGUACCUAACCAGAAAGCCACGGCUAACUACGUGCCAGCAGCCGCGGUAAUACGUAGGUGGCAAGCGUUGUCCGGAAUUAUUGGGCGUAAAGCGCGCGCAGGUGGUUUAGAAAGUCUGAUGUGAAAGCCCACGGCUCAACCGUGGAGGGUCAUUGGAAACUAAUAAACUUGAGUGCAGGAGAGAAAAGUGGAAUUCCUGGUGUAGCGGUGAAAUGCGUAGAGAUUAGGAGGAACACCGAUGGCGAAAGCGGCUUUUUGGCCUGCAACUGACACUGAGGCGCGAAAGCGUGGGGAGCAAACAGG